AUGGAGGUAGAACGUCAUUGUGAGAAAAUCGCCGUUAACUAUAUGUGACUAGCCUUUUCCAGGCUUAGGAGGGUACAUUGUCUAAAUUAGAUUUUUGUAUAUUUAUCUAGAAUAUUCCGAAACAAAACUCUCUGUCAUGUUAUUAUGACAUAUUUGUUGUAAUAGCAAUGAAACGAGUCAUUUCGAAUACCGGUAUGAAAA
rnacentral:lncRNA from 1 species